rnacentral:rRNA from 1 species
GACGAACGCUGGCGGCGUGCUUAACACAUGCAAGUCGAACGGUAAGGCCCUUCGGGGUACACGAGUGGCGAACGGGUGAGUAACACGUGGGUGAUCUGCCCUGCACUUCGGGAUAAGCCUGGGAAACUGGGUCUAAUACCGGAUAGGACCACUGCCUGCAUGGGUGGUGGUGGAAAGCUUUUGCGGUUUGGGAUGGGCCCGCGGCCUAUCAGCUUGUUGGUGGGGUGAUGGCCUACCAAGGCGACGACGGGUAGCCGGCCUGAGAGGGGGACCGGCCACACUGGGACUGAGAUACGGCCCAGACUCCUACGGGAGGCAGCAGUGGGGAAUAUUGCACAAUGGGCGCAAGCCUGAUGCAGCGACGCCGCGUGAGGGAUGACGGCCUUCGGGUUGUAAACCUCUUUCAGCACCGACGAAGCGCAAGUGACGGUAGGUGCAGAAGAAGGACCGGCCAACUACGUGCCAGCCGCCGCGGUAA